rnacentral:rRNA from 1 species
UACGUAGGGUGCAAGCGUUGUCCGGAAUUAUUGGGCGUAAAGAGCUCGUAGGCGGUGUGUCGCGUCGGCCGUGAAAACCUGCAGCUUAACUGUGGGCGUGCGGUCGAUACGGGCAUCACUGGAGUUCGGCAGGGGAGACUGGAAUUCCUGGUGUAGCGGUGAAAUGCGCAGAUAUCAGGAGGAACACCGGUGGCGAAGGCGGGUCUCUGGGCCGAUACUGACGCUGAGAAGCGAAAGCGUGGGGAGCGAACAGG